rnacentral:snRNA from 1 species
GGACGUGAGGGCGAUCUGGCUGUGACAUCUGUCACCCCACUGAUCGCCAGGGUUGCUUUGGCUGAUCUGGCGGGUUAUGUGGGUGUCUGCUUCCUCCCUCACCACUCUGUGUGUGUUCCUCCAAAGCUCAGGUGAAAAGGAGGACUUUCCCAAAUAGAGGAGGAUGUGUCUUCCAUCAAGGGUACACUUGUGGCUGCACUCUUUGGCCAGAACCUCCACACAAGCUCUCAAGAAUGCACUCCCAGGCUGGAGAGAUGGCUUAGCGGUUAAGUGCCUGCCUGUGAAGCCUGAGGACCCCAGUUCAAGGCUCGAUUCCCCAGGACCCACGUUAGCCAUAUGCACUAGGGG